CGUCCUAUUAGCUAGUUGGUGAGGCAAUGGCUCACCAAGGCUACGAUGGGUAGGGGUUCUUAGUGGAAGAUCCCCCACACUGGCACUGAGAUACGGGCCAGACUCCUACGGGAGGCAGCAGUAGGGAAUAUUGGUCAAUGGGCGCAAGCCUGAACCAGCCAUGCCGCGUGCAGGGUGAAGGCUCUCUGAGUUGUAAACUGCUUUUGUACAGGAGCAAAAAAAUCCCUGCGGGGGUUCUUGAGAGUACUGUAGGAAUAAGCACCGGCUAAUUCCGUGCCAGCAGCCGCGGUAAUACGGGAGGUGCAAGCGUUAUCCGGUUUUAUUGGGUUUAAAGGGUGCGUAGGCGGCUUAUUAAGUCAGUUGUGAAAUCCUAGUGCUUAACGCUAGAACUGCGAUUGAUACUAUU
rnacentral:rRNA from 1 species